rnacentral:rRNA from 1 species
UACGAAGGGGGCUAGCGUUGCUCGGAAUCACUGGGCGUAAAGGGUGCGUAGGCGGGUCUUUAAGUCAGGGGUGAAAUCCUGGAGCUCAACUCCAGAACUGCCUUUUGAUACUGAAGAUCUUGAGUUCGGGAGAGGUGAGUGGAACUGCGAGUGUAGAGGUGAAAUUCGUAGAUAUUCGCAAGAGCACCAGUGGCGAAGGCGGCUCACUAGCCCGAUACUGACGCUGAGGCACGAAAGCGUGGGGAGCAAACAGG